rnacentral:rRNA from 1 species
UACGGAGGGUGCGAGCGUUGUCCGGAAUCACUGGGCGUAAAGGGCGCGUAGGUGGCCCGUGGAAGUCUGCGGUGAAAGCCCGGCGCUCAACGCCGGGUCGGCCGUGGAUACUCUCGGGCUUGAGCUUACUAGAGGCAGAUGGAAUUCCGGGGUGUAGCGGUGGAAUGCGUAGAGAUCCGGAAGAACACCGGUGGCGAAGGCGGCCUGCUGGGCAGUAGCUGACGCUGAUGCGCGACAGCGUGGGGGAGCAAACAGGG